AAGGCCUUGUUCCCCCAAAUCGAGGACACUUGAGAGCAAAUGGUUCACUCUCCAUCCCGACCAGAGAAUGCACGGCUUAAAUCUCCCUGGUCCGGGACAUAGAGGACAGAGACCCAGCUAAUGUCAUUUGUCCCAGCCAAACCCAAGGACGGACGAAGUCAGGAGCAAGUAACAAAAACCCCAUUGGAGCCAGGCAGCCCCGAGAUAAAAGGAACGACCCAGCUGGCCAAAGAAUCCCCCCCCACCCCCAACACACUCAUUCUGGCACAUCCGCGUACUCCAAACGCACGGAAAACUGAUGCAUGUUCUGCUGACACCCUCCCCUGAGGUUCCCGCCUGCCAGAGACUCACAAGCCUCAGGACCAAGGACCCAGCGGGCGGGUGCUCUCCUGCCGGGGAGCAGCCCGAGCCAUUUCCUUUUCCGACUUCUACCCCCGCUCCUUUCUUCACAGGAAUGUGUCUCCUAAACUCUAAGGCAGCUGGCGGCUCAUCCCAGGUGGACCCCCUGAACCUGUCCCCAAUCCCCUUUUCUCUGACCUCCCAGUGAGCGAAGGCAGCCCAGCCGGGCUCUCCUGUUGCUGAUUCCAUGCUAAGUCCUCCUGGUUUCACUGUCCCUGCUUUAAUAGACGCAUGCUCACAGUCACCCGGACUCGUGCUGUGAGAUCUU